UACGUAGGGUGCAAGCGUUGUCCGGAAUUAUUGGGCGUAAAGAGCUCGUAGGCGGUCUGUCGCGUCUGCUGUGAAAACUCGGGGCUUAACCCCGGGCCUGCAGUGGGUACGGGCAGACUAGAGUGCGGUAGGGGAGACUGGAAUUCCUGGUGUAGCGGUGAAAUGCGCAGAUAUCAGGAGGAACACCGAUGGCGAAGGCAGGUCUCUGGGCAUUAACUGACGCUGAGGAGCGAAAGCAUGGGGAGCGAACAGG
rnacentral:rRNA from 1 species